GAUGAACGCUGGCGGCGUGCUUAACACAUGCAAGUCGAACGGGAAACCUUUUAAUGAAGCUUCGGCAGAUUUAGCUGGUUUCUAGUGGCGGACGGGUGAGUAACGCGUGGGUAACCUGCCUUAUACAGGGGGAUAACAGUCAGAAAUGACUGCUAAUACCGCAUAAGCGCACAGGACCGCAUGGUCCGGUGUGAAAAACUCCGGUGGUAUAAGAUGGACCCGCGUUGGAUUAGCUUGUUGGUGGGGUAACGGCUCACCAAGGCGACGAUCCAUAGCCGGCCUGAGAGGGGGAACGGCCACAUUGGGACUGAGACACGGCCCAGACUCCUACGGGAGGCAGCAGUGGGGAAUAUUGCACAAUGGGGGAAACCCUGAUGCAGCGACGCCGCGCGAAGGAAGAAGUAUCUCGGUAAGUAAACUUCUAUCAGCAGGGAAGAUAGUGACGGUACCUGACUAAGAAGCCCCGGCUAACUACGUG
rnacentral:rRNA from 1 species